CCUAAGGGGGUCAGCAGUGGGGAAUAUUGGACAAUGGGCGAAAGCCUGAUCCAGCCAUGCCGCGUGUGUGAAGAAGGCCUUCGGGUUGUAAAGCACUUUCAGUGGGGAAGAAAGCCUUGGGGCUAAUACCCUCGAGGAAGGACAUCACCCACAGAAGAAGCACCGGCUAACUCCGUGCCAGCAGCCGCGGUAAUACGGAGGGUGCGAGCGUUAAUCGGAAUUACUGGGCGUAAAGCGCGCGUAGGCGGUCUGAUAAGCCGGUUGUGAAAGCCCCGGGCUCAACCUGGGAACGGCAUCCGGAACUGUCAGGCUAGAGUGCAGGAGAGGAAGGUAGAAUUCCCGGUGUAGCGGUGAAAUGCGUAGAGAUCGGGAGGAAUACCAGUGGCGAAGGCGGCCUUCUGGACUGACACUGACGCUGAGGUGCGAAAGCGUGGGUAGCAAACAGGAUUAGAUACCCUAGUAGUC
rnacentral:rRNA from 1 species